AUGGGGACGGUGCUGAUGUGGGCUUCCCUUCUCAUCACCAUCAAAGGUGCCCUGUGUGAUGUUCAGCUGGUGGAAUCAGGGGGAGAUGUGAGACAACCCGGAGGGUCUCUGAGCCUCUCCUGCAAAGCCUCUGGAUUCACCUUCACUGAUUAUGGGAUGGACUGGGUCCGGCAGGCUCCAGGGCAGGGGCUGGAGUGGGUGGCAGGAGUCAGUAAACCCAGUGGAAAGAAUCAGUGGUACUCUCCAUCAGUUCAAGGAAGAUUUACAAUAGCCAGGGACAACCCUACAAGCACAGUCUCCCUUAAAAUGACAAACCUGAAAGCUGAAGAUACUGCCGUGUAUUUCUGUGUGAGAGACACACUGAGGGGAAGUCAGUGUGAGCCCAGAUAUAAACCUCCCUGCAGGAAGGGGGCUGGGCUGUAGGGGGCGCUCAGGAUGUGUGGAGCAAAGGGACCCUGCUCAGAAGCAGGUGCAGAGGAAAGCCAUGGGUCCCUUUUAA